GACGAACGCUGGCGGCGUGCUUAACACAUGCAAGUCGAGCGAUGAAGUUCCUUCGGGAAUGGAUUAGCGGCGGACGGGUGAGUAGCACGUGGGUAACCUGCCUCAUAGAGGGGAAUAGCCUUCCGAACGUACGAUUAAAACCCCAUAAGAUUGGAGUAACCCAUGAUGCGGCAAUUAGAGGAGUAAUCCGCUAUGAGAUGGACCCGCGUCGCAUUAGCUCGUUGGUGAGGUAACGGCUCACCAAGGCGACUAUGCUUAGCCGACCUGAGAGGGUGAUCGGCCACAUUGGGACUGAGACACGGCCCAGACUCCUACGGGAGGCAGCAGUGGGGAAUAUUGCACAAUGGGGGAAACCCUGAUGCAGCAACGCCGCGUGAGUGAUGACGGUCUUCGGAUUGUAAAGCUCUGUCUUCAGGGACGAUAAUGACGGUACCUGGGGAGGAAGCCCCGGCUAACUAUGUGCCAGCAGCCGCUGUAAAAC
rnacentral:rRNA from 1 species